rnacentral:rRNA from 1 species
GACGAACGCUGGCGGCGUGCCUAAACCAUGCAAGUGAAGCCCUGAGGCUUGUACUUUUUACCACUGGAUGGAGCGGCAACGGGGUGAUUACCCCGGGGGAAAUCUCCUUUUAACUGGGGAAAAACUUUGGGAAAGGAUUGCAAAUCCCGAAUAAAAACUUAAACCACAGUUUUAAGUUUUAAAAGAGGCAUUGGCUUACUCAAAGAAUAUCCCCGGUUUUUUUUGGUUGGUUGGGAGGUAAAAGGCCACCAAGGCGGUGGUACCUAGCCGACCUGGGGGGGUGAUCGGCCACAUUGGGACUGAGACACGGCCCAAACUCCUACGGGAGGCAGCAGUAGGGAAUCUUCGGCAAUGGACGAAAGUCUGACCGAGCAACGCCGCGUGAGUGAAGAAGGUUUUCGGAUCGUAAAACUCUGUUGGUAGAGAAGAACGUUGGUGAGAGUGGAAAGCUCAUCAAGUGACGGUAACUACCCAGAAAGGGACGGCUAACUACGUG